GUGCCAGCCGCCGCGGUAAUACGGAGGGUCCAAGCGUUGUCCGGAAUCACUGGGCGUAAAGGGUGUGCAGGUGGGGCAGCAAGUCAGAGGUGAAAGCCCGUGGCUUAACCACGGACGUGCCUUUGAAACUGCUGCUCUUGAGUCCCGGAGAGGUUGCCGGAAUUCGUGGUGUAGCGGUGAAAUGCGUAGAUAUCACGAGGAACACCAGAGGCGAAAGCGGGCAACUGGACGGGUACUGACACUGAGGCACGAAAGCGUGGGGAGCAAACAGGAUUAGAUACCCGGGUAGUCC
rnacentral:rRNA from 1 species